CAACCUCUGCCUCCCAGGUUCAAGGGAUUCUCCUGCCUCAGACUCCUGAGUAGCUGGGAUUACAGGUGUGCGCCACCAGGUCCAGCUAAUAUUUGUAUUACUAGUAGAGACGGAGUUUCUCCAUGUUGUCCAGGCUGGUCUCAAACUCCUGACCUCAGAUGAUCCCCCCACCUCAGCCUCCCAAAGUGCUGGGAUUAUAGGCGUGAGCCACCACACCUGGCCAAGAAACAAUUUUUUAAUUAAAAUUAAGAAAAAUAUAUGAAUAUAUGAGGAGUGCUUAGCCUAGCACCUGGUACAUUCCAACUACCCCUUCAGAGUUCACCUUGUUUUCAUUUGAUAAGUUUGGGAUUCGAUCACAGUUACUGGAUCCCCAGGUCUCCCUGGCUCUCACUUUUCCUGAAGCGAACACGGAAAGUAACCUGCUGCCUUGCUGCAAUGGCAGCCAGAGGCGCUGUCCCUCCCCGUCCAUCUCAGUCUUGUUUUCCUUCCAGCCCCAUCCCAGGUCCAAGUUCCAGCAACACCAGGUUUUAGGCAGCAGAGUUCUAAGACAUGCCAGCUCCAGGGUGUCCUCAACCCACGUGGACAUCUCCCUGGGUCCGUGGUCCAGCGGGCGCCACCUUCUCAGUCCCGGUCUCUUCACAGCCCCAGGGUGCAGUGUUGUCUUGUAAGGCAGUGGGAGCAAUGGGCACCGCAGGGAACCCACAGACUGCGUCGUGUCUCAGAAGUUGCCAGGUCAGCUCCUCCAGUGACUCCUGUGUGUCCACAGGUCUCCAACUGGUUUGGCAACAAAAGAAUCCGGUAUAAAAAGAACAUGGGGAAGUUUCAAGAAGAAGCUACCAUUUACAUGGGUAAAACAGCUGCAGAUACCACCGAAGUUGGGGUCCCAGGGAACCAUGCCAGCUGCCUGUCAACACCCAGCUCCGGCUCCUCUGGACCCUUCCCGCUGCCCAGUGCUGGGGAGGCCUUCCUCACCCUGCGGACGCUGACCUCUCUCCAGCCUCCUCCUGGGGGAGGCUGCCUGCAGUCCCAGGUGAGUCUCAGGCACCAUCCCACAGCGCCCAGGUGGGUGGCAGGUCCUCAGAAAGGCCGUCUUGUCAGUCAGCCCUCAGCCUUGGGGCAGCUCCCCCAAAGGUCCCAGCAGUCACACAGGCCAUGCUGUGUGGCCACCACCGGGGCACAGCUCUGCAGGGUCCCACUCUGUAAUGACUGCGCCCUCCGCCACCUCCACCUGUCACCACUGCAGCCGCUGGGAACAGUCAGUGGGAAUGAGCCCCAAGAUGAGGGCUGUGGCUGUGGAGGGGAAGGGCGCCUCCUAAAGGAGUGUGGAAGGACAUGGUGUCCUUCCCUCGAGAGGGAGGGGCAGGCAGCAAGCAGAGGAGAGACAGGACCUUCCCUUGGGCUCAGACCUGGCGCCCUCAGUGCCGCAGCUUGGCCGGGAAGGCAGGUCUUGUGCCAGCACCUCCUCUCCUGCUGCUCUGAUGGGGAACUGAGGGCGCCCUGCUUGACCACAGUGAGGAUUUGUUUUGGCGACCGUGAAGAAAAGGAGCCAGGGGUCUGAGGCAGCUGACACACCCACCCCACCCAGGCCCCAUGGCCUCCCACUCCCCCUUGGUGGCCACAGGGGCCUGACCCCAGCGGCAGGGGAGGCCAUAAGUGGGGACUGUCUCGAAGACACUGCGGAGGCCCGGGUGUGACAUGCCCAGCACAGGCGCAAGGCUGUGCGGCGUGUGCCAGGACCCUGCAGAGCCGGGUGCCCCUCCCAACUCACCACUCUCUCCCAGGGGCUCAGAGAAUGGAUGCCCCUUGUGCCAUCUGUGGGGUCCCGCCUGGUCCUGGGAAGUUCAUGUCCCACACUGCCCUGCUGUGGCAGCUGCCCCCCAUCACCAUGCAGCCCCCAGCCAGGGACACACGCGAGGGGCCUCACCUUGCCCUUUGCACCCCUGGGACCUGACUACACGCCAGCAGAGUGUAGAGUGUCUACCCCAGUGCAGAGUGCCCCCCGGGUGGUGCUCCCACACUCACGGGCAGAGCAGUCCCAGCCACUUCCUUAGCCUGUACGGUGCCCACUGUAGUGGGGGUGGGUCCUGUGGACAAACGUCUUAGCACCCUUGGACCUGACGCCAUCUCUGCACUGCAGACAGAGCCCCCACCCCUCAUGACAAGUGGAUGCCUCCCGUCCUCCUUGCUGCCCAGUCAGACCAGUGUUGGGCCAGGUUUCAGAGCCCCUUUUUCCCACCAAGUCUCACCAUGACACUCCAGGUGUCGCCGUGGGCUCCAGGCCUGACCUUGUCUCCCUGCCCCUCGCCGGGCAGGAGCCCUUGCUAUACCUGAUGCCAGUCAGUCCUUUGCCCAAGCCCCAGGGAAGCCACUAGAGGCCAGUUUUCCUGCCAGGGAAGCUCGUCCAUGUCCCAUAUCAGGUGGCAAGGCCAGCUGUGACCCAGGGCUGACCCCUCCAUCCCUUCCCUCCUCCACUGGGUUGGAGGUCAUCUGUGGAUCUUUUCCAAGCUUCCCCAGGGACCCCUGGAGGCUCCACCUGCGGCACGAGAGCUGGGUAGUCACCAGCCUCACGGCCACCCCUCUGAUGCUCGAUCUCUGUCGUUUCAGACCCAGGGUAGCUGGCGGGGUGCCACCCCCCGACCUGCAACUGCGUCACCUGCUGGAGACCCUGGCAGCAUCAACUCCAGUGUGUCUAAUUAAGUUUUGGGGAUAAGCAGGAAAGAGCACCGC
rnacentral:lncRNA from 10 species